ACCACUUCGGUGGGGAUUAGUGGCGAACGGGUGAGUAACACGUGGGCAAUCUGCCCUGCACUCUGGGACAAGCCCUGGAAACGGGGUCUAAUACCGGAUAACACCCGCUCAGGCAUCUGAGUGGGUUAAAAGCUCCGGCGGUGCAGGAUGAGCCCGCGGCCUAUCAGCUUGUUGGUGAGGUAGAAGCUCACCAAGGCGACGACGGGUAGCCGGCCUGAGAGGGCGACCGGCCACACUGGGACUGAGACACGGCCCAGACUCCUACGGGAGGCAGCAGUGGGGAAUAUUGCACAAUGGGCGAAAGCCUGAUGCAGCGACGCCGCGUGAGGGAUGACGGCCUUCGGGUUGUAAACCUCUUUCAGCAGGGAAGAAGCGAAAGUGACGGUACCUGCAGAAGAAGCGCCGGCUAACUACGUGCCAGCAGCCGCGGUAAUACGUAGGGCGCAAGCGUUGUCCGGAAUUAUUGGGCGUAAAGAGCUCGUAGGCGGCUUGUCACGUCGGUUGUGAAAGCCCGGGGCUUAACCCCGGGUCUGCAGUCGAUACGGGCAGGCUAGAGUUCGGUAGGGGAGAUCGGAAUUCCUGGUGUAGCGGUGAAAUGCGCAGAUAUCAGGAGGAACACCGGUGGCGAAGGCGGAUCUCUGGGCCGAUACUGACGCUGAGGAGCGAAAGCGUGGGGAGCGAACAGGAUUAGAUACCCUGGUAGUCCACGCCGUAAACGGUGGGAACUAGGUGUGGGCGACAUUCCACGUCGUCCGUGCCGCAGCUAACGCAUUAAGUUCCCCGCCUGGGGAGUACGGCCGCAAGGCUAAAACUCAAA
rnacentral:rRNA from 1 species